rnacentral:rRNA from 1 species
AUUGAACGCUGGCGGCAGGCCUAACACAUGCAAGUCGGGCGGGCGGGGGACGUGUGAGUAAUGUAUCUGGCUCGGCCUGGUGGAUGAGGAUCAGUACUGGGAACGGUAGCUAAUACCGCAUACACUCAGCUGGACCGAUAUGGGAUUAGCUAGUAGGUGAGGUAACGGCUCACCUAGGCGACGAGCCCUAGCUGGUCUGAGAGGAUGAUCAGUCACACUGGGACUGAGACACGGCCCAGACUCCUACGGGAGGCAGCAGUGGGGAAUAUUGGACAAUGGGCGCAAGCCUGAUGCAGCCAUGCCGCGUGUAUGAAGAAGGCCUUCGGGUUGUAAAGUACUUUCAGUCGGGAGGCGUUACCGACAGAAGAAGCACCGGCUAACUCCGUGCCAGCAGCCGCGGUAAUAC